GACGGAGGAUGCAAGUGUUAUCCGGAAUCACUGGGCGUAAAGCGUCUGUAGGUGGUUCGAAAAGUCCACUGUUAAAAAUUGAGGCUUAACUUCAAAGAUGCCGUGGAAACUUUCAAACUAGAGUAUGGUAGGGGUAGAGGGAAUUUCCAGUGGAGCGGUGAAAUGCGUAGAGAUCGGAAAGAACACCAACGGCGAAAGCACUCUGCUGGGCCGACACUGACACUGAGAGACGAAAGCUAGGGGAGCGAAUGGG
rnacentral:rRNA from 1 species